GCCAGGUGGGUGUGGACGGCAUGGGGACGCGCCGCGUGAACUUCCCGGGAGCGCUGUGGCGUGCAGAAGGAGAGGACUUGGUGAGGAGCUGCUGCCACCCGAGCUGGGCCAGGACCUGAGAUCUCAUUGCUACUGCUGCUGCUGCUGUCUGGGAGACCUUUCUGAGACCCAGGUUGGGGACAGUGCCGGAGGGGCCUCCUCUGCUGCAGACAUCUGGCCGCAGGAGGGAGCUGGCUGGACCGAAGCUGGGCACACAUGGACAGGAACCAGGUGCAGAUGGGUCUCUUCCUUCCUGCCCACCGUCUCUCACUCAACCCCUGCUCAUGCGCGCUCUCCAGCCACCUAUGGGAAUCGUGUGAAGUUCUGAGCCCGGAAGCCAAGGAGGAAGAAGAGGAGGAGGAGGAGUGAGAGGAGGUCAAUCCCUGAGAACCUGUGCACCUUCUCAGCAGGAGACAAGCAGCCACGCUUGUGGGGGGGAGCAGGCUGUGGGGCCCACCCUCACGCCAGCCAGCCUAGUGCCUGCCGUAGCACCCCAGAAGGCCCCCAGCAGUUGGCACUAGCUGUACCCACCUUGCCUGGGGCCCUCGUGCUGGGGGUCUCCCCCAAGAUGGUGGCAGCCCCG
rnacentral:lncRNA from 1 species